AUCCAACCAACAUGUCUCAAAUAGGACGAAACGCGCGUCCUAGAU
rnacentral:hammerhead_ribozyme from 1 species